UACGAAGGGGGCUAGCGUUGCUCGGAAUCACUGGGCGUAAAGCGCACGUAGGCGGCUUGUUAAGUCAGGGGUGAAAUCCUGGAGCUCAACUCCAGAACUGCCUUUGAUACUGGCGAGCUUGAGUCCGGGAGAGGUGAGUGGAACUGCGAGUGUAGAGGUGAAAUUCGUAGAUAUUAGGAAGAACACCGGUGGCGAAGGCGGCGACCUGGUCCGUGACUGACGCUGAGGCGCGAAAGCGUGGGGAGCAAACAGG
rnacentral:rRNA from 1 species